UACGGAAGGUCCGGGCGUUAUCCGGAUUUAUUGGGUUUAAAGGGAGCGUAGGCUGUUUCUUAAGCGUGUUGUGAAAUGUAGGCGCCCAACGUCUGCACUGCAGCGCGAGCUGGGGAACUUGAGUACGCGGGAAGUAGGCGGAAUUCGUCGUGUAACGGUGAAAUGCUUAGAUAUGACGAAGAACUCCGAUUGGGAAGCCAGCCUGCUGUAGCGCCACUGACGCUGAUGCUCGAAAGCGUGGGUAUCGAAC
rnacentral:rRNA from 1 species